AACAUUCGCGUCACCUGUUGUAGCUCGGGAACAAGAAGGCAGCUGUGACACGUUUCGUGGCGAACAGUUUAAUGUGAUAACCCAGCAUCUUGCUUGGCAAUAUAUACACACAAGUUGUGGUGCGUCAGUAGUGACGUCACUGCGCUUUGUCCUUUUAUUAGAUACAACAUUCCUUCUCCCUUAUUUUCUUUAAUAUCCAUAUCUUUCAGGCGGUCGCCGAACCCUUGUGCUUCGGCGUGGCAGAGGUUCAGGAAGUUGUUCUUCAGCGGCGGUAGAAUUUGUAGCUUCCGACGUUGGUUCCUGGACCUCGGUAGUAGUUUCCUCUGUUUCUUCAGGGGUCGCCGGACCAGGUUGCGCUAGAGGUGUGCCAGUGAUGCGCACUGUUCUGGGUAGAACAAGAGGAGUACUUGUAUUAACAAUGCAAUCAGCAUGCAUGAAUCGCUCCUGGCCUUCCACUUUGACUAUGUAAGUUGCCACGCUGACACGGCGAACAAUCGUUCCUUCUAACCAGUGCGGGUCGCCUGGUCGGAUACCUCUC
rnacentral:lncRNA from 1 species